CGUCUCCCAUAGGCCCAGCCCCUUUUCCCAUGACGUAGGUAAGCCUUGGGAGUCGGUGAUUCGGGAUCCGACUAAAUGGCUUCUUCCCUGUUCCACUUACCAGGCUCUCGGUUUGUAGGGGCACCCGCCGGAUCCUCGUGCCUUGGUGCAUCUUGGGAUUCGUAGUCUUUGAGGCCCCCUGGGCAAGCCACUGAGCCCCGAGCGCAGGCACACACGCGCACUUUUUUCACUCAUUGAACGAGUUCUCGUUGCCAUAGCAACUUGGGGGCUUGGCAACUGCUGCCCAGGUUCCCUUCCUAGAACAGCAACAACAUCCAGCUCUCCGAACUGGUGCAGACUUUAGGGAGUCUGUUCCAACCCUCUCUGCAGUACCAGUUGUGGCAAGUACCCAUCCAUCCGCCGCUUGAAAACCUGGCAAGAGCUGCUUCUUUCAGAGGGAAGCCACCCAGGCCACUUUUGCAUCACUCUUAGGAAGUUUUUCUUUAUAGCAAGCUUUAAUUUGCCUCAAUGAUGCUUCCACCUAUUUAUCCCCUUUGGAGCUAAACAGAACAAGUUUCAUCCUCCUUCCAAGUAACAACCCUUCAAAUAGCCAGGAAAAAGCUGAAAGAAGAGAAACACACAGUAAUCAUAACUUUGAAUGUGAAUGGGAUGAUCUUACCCAGAAAAUAGAAGAGGAUAGUAGAGUGGAUUAAAACCAGAAUCACACAAUAUGCUGUCUACAGGAAACUCAUUUAAAGCAGGGAAGGUAAAGAGUUAGAACAGAAUAUACUAUGCUUUGCUAAAGUUUAAAAAAAAAAAAAGCAGGGGUGGCAAUUAUCUGAGACUGGUUAUAAUAAAAUACUGUUGCACCAUGAGAAAUGACAACCAAGACGAUUAUUAAAAAAACCUAGCAAGACUUAGAGUGAUACAAAGUGAAGUGAGCAGAACCAGGAGAGUUGUAUCACAGUAACAGUAAUAAAGUACAGUGAUCAGCUGUAAAUUAUCCAAUUAUUAUCAGCCAUUUAAGGAUCCAGGGCAACACCAAGAGACUCAUGACCAAAAAAACUAUCCACUGCUAUAGAAGUAACUGAUAGAAUCUAAAUGGAGAUUGAAACAUGCCAUUCUUCACUUUAUUUUCUCCACGAAUUUUUCUCUAAUUUUGAUACAUCUUCUUUCACAACAUGAUGAACAUGGAAAUAUAUAUUAUAUAACAUAUCAUAUUACCUACCAUCUUGGGGAAAGGGGAGAGGUGGGAGGGAGAGAACAUGGAUCAAAAACUUUCAAAAAACAAUUAUUGAAAAUUGUACCAAGAUUUAAUCUGGAAAAAAAUUAACUUUAAAAAAAUAGGUACAAGCUGCUUUCUAGGAAUAUGAGAGAUUAGUGCUGCCAAAAAGAGUCUGAGCUGAAACAGAGACAGUUUGCAGAGCACUUAAAUCACAAGUUUCUAGGAGCUAGUAAAAUGGAGAGAAGAUUAGUUUCUCUGCCUUAAGUGGUAGAGGCUUCACACUUCUGAAAAGUCCCAGGUUUCAUAAUUCCUUCUCCUAAUCCUUUUAUCACACAGGAAAAGGAAAAUGUAGUUAGGAGGAAUUUUCCACUUUGGGAAAUGAUCAGGAGGAUAUAACUAACAUGAAAUUAUAAUACAGAGACAUUUGGAUUACAGAGAGUUUCCUAGUCACAGGAUCAAGGCAGAGCCCCAGAUAAUCAGAAUUCUCUUACGCUGAAUUGUAAACCUGACUAGUGAAUAUACCUAACCUUUCUCAGCCUUCUCAGAAAGGGGUCUCUCAAAUAACCAUUGAGUAGACUCUGACUGAAACCCAUCUGGGAUGGUGGACAGAAUACAGCAGCAUUUCAUUAUGCAUUUCUUUACGAAUUAUACACUCCCUUACUUGCUAAUUAAUUAAUUGCACAAUUGUCUGCUUCUCUGUGAGUUUCAGCCUGCAGGGCAAAGAGGCAGGAUGGAUGGGCAUAGGUUUGGUAAUACCACAAAAUGUGUAACUAGCAUACACCAUGUGUCAUGUUACCCUUAUAGAAAAGAAGAAUGGAUGUUGAUUAGCAGUGAUAGAGUGAGGUGAAUAGUUGGUUGAAUAGUUAGACUGAAAAAGUAGUGAUAAUGGUUCCUGAUCAGCUCAGAAUGUCUCUCAACAUUCUGCCUUACCAAUGUUUGGCCCUGUACUGUUGAAUUUUUUUUUUAAACCCUUACCUUCUGCCUUAGAAUCAAUACUAGGCAAAAGGGUUAGGCAAUGGGAGUUAAGUGACUUGCCCAGGGUCACACAGCUAGGAAGUGUCUGAGGCCAAAUUUGAACCUCAGACCUCCCAUCUCUAGGCCUGGCUCUUUAAUCCACUGAGCUGCCCAGCUGCCCCCCUGUAGAAUAUUUUUUAUCAGUUACUUAGGAAAAAAAAACAUUAGGGGGCAUGUUUAUCACAUUUACAAAUGACACAAAGCUAGAAGGAACAGUACUUUUUGGACAGCAUAACUGCUGUCCAAACUGAUUCAAGAUCUUAAUAUCCAAACUUGAUUUUUAAAAGUUUAUUAGAGCUUUUUGUUUUUAUAUCACAGUCAUUUCUUGAUAUAUACCAUACCCUCCACCCCAAAAGAGCUCUUCCUUAAAAAAACAUUUGAACAGAGAACAGCUGGGUGGAUCAGUGGAUCGAGAACCAGGCCCAAAGAUGGGAAGUCCUGGGUUCAAAUCUGAACUCAGACACUUCCUAGCUGUGUGACCCUGAGCAAGUCACUUAACCCUCAUUGCCUAGCCCUUACCACUCUUCUGCCUUGGAACCAAUACACAGUAUUGAUUCCAAGACAGAAGGUGAGGGUUUAAAAAAAAUAACAUUUGAACAAAUUCAACCAGUAUAACGACUGGCGAUGUAGUAACAUUCCACACUGUACCGCUACUGAUUUAUCUCUUGAUCCUGCAGUCUAAAGGCAUGAACAAUUUAGUUCGAAAAAUUUGAAAAAGUUUUUCUGAAAUGGUAGAACCAGUUCACAGAUUCACCACCAGUGAGACUGAAGCACACUAGAAGUCAUACAACCAAAUUUACUGAGUACACUACAAAUUUAUGUUAUCUGAUUUCAAGACAAUCCUUUUAAUGCUCUCUAAUUUUCCAUCUUGCUCCCCACAGAGAUUGCUCUAAACUUUUUCUCCCGUAAGCUUCCCAUAGCAUCCAUCCCCACAUCUUCACAUCAUAUGAGGACUUCACUUCAUACUUUAAUAAGAAAAUAGAAGCCUCCUUAAGAUCUCUCUUCUCCCAUAUUUUACAUCUCAACACACUGACUCCAUCCUCCAAUCUAUUCUUUCCUCUCCUCUCUGAUGCAGUGGCUCUUCUUGACAAAAUCAGUCUUAAUACUUGUACACUUGGGGGCAGCUGGGUGGCCCAGUGGAUAGAGAGCCAGGCCUAGAGAUGGGAGGUCCUGGGUUCAAAUCUGGACUCAGAUACUUCCCAGCUGUGUGACCCUGGGCAAGUCACUUAAUCCCCAUUGCCUAGCCCUUACCACUCUUCUGCCUUAGAGCCAAUACACAGUAUUGAUUCUAAGUCAGAAGGUAAGGGUUAAAAAUAAUAAUACUUGUACACUUGAUCCCAUCCCUUCUGACAUCUGCCUACAGAUUACCUCCCUGAUUGUUCCCCUCUGUUUUUAAGUUUCCUACAAAUUAAGAACAAUAUAUGGGAGCUGAGGGCUAGAGAUAGGGAGGAGAAAGGUGUAGAGAGGUAGAUUUAGGCUGUAUGUAAGGAAAACCUUCCAAAUAAUGUGGUUUAAUUGUUUUUUUCAGUCAUGUCCAACUCUUCAUAACCCUAUUUGGGAUUUUUUUGGCAAAGAUACUGGGGUAGUUUACCAUUUUCUUCUCGAGUGCAUUUUAAAGAUGAGGAAUCUCAGGCAAACAGUGUUAAGUGACUUGCCCAAGGUCAUCAGCUGCUCAGUGUCUGAGGUCAGAUUUGAACUCAGGAAGAUAAGCUUUCUUUUCCUGA